UUGGCUUCUCUCUUUAUUUUUGAGAGGAUCAGCCAAUUUGUGUCCCUUAUGAUUAGGCAUUUUGGACUCACCUUGCUUUGUCAAUAUCACACUUCUAUAUUUCUAUUAGUCUCAGUAAGAUGACAUUAUUCUUGGCCAAGAAUCUACUUGUCUCACUUUUUCCCUUAUUUUAUGAGAAAAGCUUUUGCUUACUAAUGGAAAAGUGCCAUAAUAUUGCAACUCCUUUCAGCAUCUGUCACAGAGGAAUCCAGCCAUUUUGAACCAGCCUGGACCUUCUCUUUUGGUGCUUGAAAUUCUGAACUACCGUUUGCUUUCACUCUACAGGCACCAAGGCAAAAGCAAGAACUUGAUGUAUGAUAUAACGAAAAUAAUUUCCACGCUAAAAGGGAAACGUGGAGAUCAUCGCAUUUUUAGAUUGGCUGAAAACUUGUUCAUGAAUCUUAUUUUUUCUUUGAGAGAGUUUUUUAUUGUGAAGAAGGAAGGGAAGGGUCCUACUGAAUUCACAGAAACCUUGAAUCGUAUAACCAUAACAACCCUUGAGA